rnacentral:rRNA from 1 species
CCUACGGGAGGCAGCAGUGGGGAAUAUUGCACAAUGGGGGAAACCCUGAUGCAGCGACGCCGCGUGAGUGACGAAGUAUUUAGGUACGUAAAGCUCUAUCAGCAGGGAAGAAAAUGACGGUACCAGACUAAGAAGCCCCGGCUAACUACGUGCCAGCUGCCGAGGUAAUCAGUAGGGGGCAAGCGUUAUCCGGAUUUACUGGGCGUAAAGGGGGCGUAGCCGGCAGCGGAAGUCCGGAGUGAAAUCCCAGGGCUUAACCAUGGAACUGCUUUGGAAACUGUGCAGCUAGAGUGCUGGAGAGGUAAGCGGAAUUCCUAGUGUAGCGGUGAAAUGCUUAGAUAUUAGGAAGAACACCAGUGGCGAAGGCGGCUUACUGGACUGUAACUGACGUUGAGGCUCGAAAGCGUGGGGAGCGAACAGGAUUAGAUACCCGUGUAGUC